GAUGAAGAACGUAGCGAAAUGCGAUACUUGGUGUGAAUUGCAGAAUCCCGUGAACCAUCGAGUCUUUGAACGCAAGUUGCGCCCGAAGCCAUUAGGCCGAGGGCACGCCUGCCUGGGCGUCACACGUCGUUGCCCCCCCAUCUACUCCUUCGGGAUUGCGGGGGGCGGAUGAUGGCCUCCCGUGCGCCUCGCCGCGCGGUUGGCAUAAAUGCCAAGUCCUCGGCGACGCACGCCACGACAAUCGGUGGUUGCGAAACCUCGGUUGCCCGUCGUGUGCGGUCGUCGCGCAUCGAGGGCUCGAAAAAAUUGCCGGGUUCCGGCUCGGCUUUCAACGCGACCCCAGGUCAGGCGGGGUUACCCGCUGAAUUUAAGCAUAUAAUAAGCGGAGGA
rnacentral:misc_RNA from 1 species